rnacentral:lncRNA from 13 species
AUGACAAACAGCCCUCAUUCACCCCUUGUCUCAAAAUCUUCUUGGCUCCCGUUUUUGUUUUUUCAACUUGGAAAUAGAAUAUAUGAAAGACAGACUGAAGAGUGGCAACCAAAAUCCAGAAGGCUGGAGACAUUUCUGCCAUUCACAGAAUUUAUGAAAAUCCCCUGUCUGGAAGGCUCUUGGAGAGCUCAAAAUGCUCAGCGCGGCUGGUAAACCACAAGGAAAGCC